UUUUAUAAACUAUGAGACUUUGGUCUUAUUUUCUUAAGGAAAAAGAAUAAAAAAAUGUUCUUAAAUUAUGCGAAAAGAACAAAACUACCCUCCAUUUGAAGUUUGAUCCAUUUCUUCUCAUCAUUAUUUUGGUUCAAAAAUGCUUUUAUUGAUAUUUUGGGUGAAAGUGCUCGUUUUUCAAAUAAAUAUAUUAUUUAUUAACACAUUUCUUUUUUAAUAAUAUUUUUUAAAAUUAGCAGAUGUUUAUCUUCGAUUAAAAAAAAACUAUUUUAUUAUAAUUAUUUGCUAUGGUUAAAUAGAUAUAAAUUAAUGAUAGAUUUACUAUGAUUUUAUACAUAUGACGUAUAUUAUUUGUCGAAAUGAUACGUGAAGUUAUUUUUAUUUUAAUUGAUAAGAUAAGAUUAAAGAGGAAAAAAUAUUUUCUACUUUUUUAUUUGUUAAAGUGAUUUUAAAAGAAAGAAAACAAGAUCAUAGUACUUUAAUAAUUUGAUAAAGAAGGAAAUAUGAUUAAAAAGAAAAAAAUUGUUAUAAAUCCAUUGAAUUGUGUGGAUUGUCCUUUAGAUUUACUCAAGACUUAAUUGUAUUCAUGUAUACCUGUUCCCAAGGUGAUAAGAAUCAUUUGGAUAACUAUGUACCUACAAAUUGGACAUUUAUCAUGGGGCCUUUGGGGUGAUAUCUCAACUCUAUAAAUAGAGAUAUCAUUCACCUUUUGUAAUACAUGCUUGAAUAAGAAAAUUAUCUCCUCUAUCUUAUACUUCUUGUCUUUUUCUUCUUAUAUUCUGAGCUUUCUUUACAACACGUUAUCAGCACGAAGUUGCUACUUGCAAAGAAAUCCCCAGUUGUCAGUUGGAUUCAAGAUGAGUAAUGGAGAUGUAUGCCUUCUUGAUAGUGCUACAACGCAUACAAUAUUAAAAGAAAAGAAAUACUUUUCUAAUUUGGUUAUGAAAAUGGCAUAUGUCAACACAAUAUCAGGUAGUACAAAAUUAAUUGAGGGCUCUGGAAGAGCGACCUUAUUACUACCUGGAGGGACAAUAUUAAGCAUUGAUAAUGCAUUAUAUUGUAGUAAGUCUCAAAGAAACUUAUUAAGUUUCAAAGUUAUUCGCCAAAAUGGCUAUCAUGUUGAGACGGCUAAUGAAGGAAAGGUUGAAUACCUUUACAUUACUACAAUUAAUGUUGAGAAGAAAAUUGUGCAUGAAAAAUUACCUGCAUUUUCUUCUGGGUUGUACUAUACAAGUAUAAGUAUAGUUGAAUCACAUGCCGUAGUAAACAAAAGGUUUACUAAUUUUAAUAAUUUUAUCAUUUGGCAUGACCGGUUGGGCCAUCCUAGAUUUAAUAUGAUGCGCAAAAUCAUUGAGAUUUCACAUGGACACACCUUAAAGAGCCCAAAUAUCCUUCAAUCAAAGGAAUUCUCUUGUGCUGCUUGUUCUCAAGGAAAGUUGAUCAUUAAACCAUCAACAGUUAAGGUUGGAAUUGAAUCCCCUGCGUUUCUGGAACGUAUACAGGGUGAUAUAUGUGGACCUAUUCAACCUGCAUGUGGAUCCUUUAAAUAUUAUAUGGUCUUGAUAGAUGCUUCUACAAGAUGGUCACAUGUGUGUUUAUUAUCAACUCGCAACAUGGCUUUUGCGAGAUUGCUGGCUCAAAUAAUAAGAUUGUAAGCACAAUUUCCAGACUAUACAAUAAAGGCAAUCCGUCUAGAUAAUGCUGGUGAGUUUACAUCUCAGGCAUUUAAUGAUUAUUGUAUGUCUACUGGUAUAACUGUUGAACAUCCAGUUGCGCAUGUUCACACUCAAAACGGUCUAGCAGAAUCAUUGAUUAAACGUCUGCAAUUGAUAGCUAGACCAUUACUAAUGAGAAAAAAGUUAUCUGUGUCUAUGUGGGGGCAUGCUAUUUUGCAUGCAGCAACACUUGUACGCAUAAGGCCAACCAAUUAUCAUGAAUUCUCCCCAUUACAAUUGACUUUUGGUCAAGAGCCAAACAUUUCCCAUCUUAGAGUUUUUGGAUGUGCGGUGUAUGUCCCAAUUGCUCCACCACAACGCACAAAGAUGGGACCGCAAAGAAGGUUGGGGAUAUAUGUUUGGUAUGAAUCUCCUUCAAUCAUAAAAUAUUUGGAGCCUAUGACUGGAGAUUUAUUUAAGGCAAGAUUUGCUGAUUGUCAUUUUGAUGAAUCAGCAUACCCAACAUUAGGGGGAGAACAUAAGUCAUUGGGAAAAGAGAUAGAUUGGAAUUCAUCAUCUCUAUCUCAUCUGGAUCCUCGAACAAACCAAUGUGAGCAAGAAGUUCAAAGAAUAAUUUAUUUGCAGAACAUUGCAAAUCAGCUACCAGAUGCAUUUACGAAUCUUUCAAGGAUUACUAAAUCGCAUAUUCCAGCUGUUAAUGCUCCAGUUCGAGUUGAUAUCCCGACGGGACAAAUUGUUAAGGCAAAUGAGUCUAGACCACAUUUGAAGCGUGGUAGAUCAAUUGGUUCCAAGGAUAAAAAUCCUCGAAAGAGAAAAGGAAUAAAUGAUCAAGAUGAUCAUGGGUUGAAAGAAAUUUCUCAAGAUGAGACCCAAGUCAUAACACAUGAUGAGGAGGAGGUUCGAACUUCUGAAAAUAAUGAAAUUUCAAUGAAUUAUGUCUCGACGAGAAAGUUGUGGAACCGAAAUAAUGUUGUGAUUGACAACAUAUUUGCCUAUAAUGUUGCUAUUGAAAUAAUGCAACAAGAUGAAGAUUUUGAGCCAAAAUCUGUUCACAAAUGUAGACAGAGAAAUGAUUGGCCAAAAUGGAAGGAUGCAAUUCAAGCUGAAUUGGCUUCACUAGAAAAACGUGAAGUUUUUGGACCAAUAAUCCGAACACCUGAAGGUAUCAAGCCAGUGGGGUACAAAUGGGUUUUUGUACGAAAAAGAAAUGAGAAAGGUGAAGUCAUGAGAUAUAAGGCCCGACUCGUUGCUCAAGGUUUUUCUCAAAGACCUGACAUUGAUUAUAUGGAGACAUAUUCUCCAGUGGUAGAUGCAAUCACCUUUAGAUAUCUCAUAAAUCUGGUAGUUCAUGAAAAACUUGAAAUGCGUCUAAUGGACGUUGUCACAGCCUAUCUAUAUGGCUCAUUGGACCACAACAUUUUCAUGAAAAUUCCUGAAGCAUUUAAAGUGUCUGAAACAUACAAAGAUUCAAGAGAAACUUGUUCAAUAAAGCUUCAGAAAUCUCUGUAUGGACUGAAACAAUCAGGAAGGAUGUGGUACAAUCGUUUGAGUGAAUAUUUGUUAAAGAAAGGGUACAAAAAUGACCCGAUUUGUCCCUGCAUUUUCAUUAAACGGUUGGGGUCUGAAUUUGUAAUAAUAGCUGUGUAUGUUGAUGAUUUGAACAUCAUUGGAACUCGUAAAGAGCUUUUAGAAGCUGUUGAGUGUCUGAAAAGAGAAUUUGAAAUGAAAGAUCUCGGGAAGACAAAAUUUUGUCUUGGUCUACAGAUUGAGAAUUUGUCAAAUGGAAUACUUGUUCAUCAAUCAACGUACACAGAAAAGAUACUAAAGCGUUUUUACAUGGAUAACUCACAUCCAUUGAGUACUCCAAUGGUGGUAAGAUCUCUUGACAUCAAUACAGAUCCAUUUCGACCUCAAGAGAAUGAUGAAGAGCUUCUUGGUGAUGAAACUCCUUAUCUUAGUGCGAUCGGGGCACUAAUGUACCUUGCUAACAAUACUCGACCAGAUAUCUGUUUUGCAGUAAGUCUACUGGCAAGAUUCAGUUACUCCCCAACAAAAAGACAUUGGAAUGGUGUUAAACACAUACUUCGAUAUCUUCGAGGGACCACAGACAUAGGUUUGUUCUAUUCCAAUGAAUCCAAAUCAGAACUAAUUGGUUACGCAGAUGCAGGGUAUUUAUCAGAUCCGCAUAAAGCUCGAUCACAAACAGGCUAUUUGUUUUCAUGUGGAGACACGGCAAUAUCUUGGCGAUCAAUGAAGCAAACAUUGGUAGCCACUUCUUCAAAUCAUGUAGAAAUAAUAGCCAUCCAUGAAGCAAGUCGAGAGUGCGUCUGGUUGAGAUCAAUGACCCAUCAUAUUCAGAAAAUGUGUGGUUUUUCUUUGAAAAAGAAUAUACCAACCACAAUGUACGAAGAUAAUGCUGCAUGUAUAGCUCAAUUGAAAGGAGGAUACAUCAAAGGAGACCGGACAAAGCAUAUCUCACCAAAGUUCUUUUUCACGCAUGAUCUUCAACAAAAUGGUGAGAUAGAAGUUCAACAAAUUCGUUCAAGUGAUAAUCUUGCUGAUUUAUUCAUUAAGGCAUUGCCAACAUCAACAUUUGAGAAGUUGAGAUAUAAGAUUGAAUGCGCCGUCUCCGAGAUAUCAAGUAAAGUUUUCAUCAGGGGGAGCGAAAUACGCGUUGUACUCUUUUCCUUAACUAUGGUUUUGUCCCAAGUUGGGUUUUCCUGGUAAGGUUUUUAAUGAGGCAACAUUCAAAGCGUAUUAUGAGAAAUGUGUACUCUUUUUCCUUCACUAGGCUUUUUCCCACUGGGUUUUUCCUAGUAAGGUUUUAACGAGGCACAUAAUCUAUGGACAUCCAAGGGGGAGUGUUAUAAAUACAUUGAAUUGUGUGGAUUGUCCUUUAGAUUUACUCAAGACUUAAUUGUAUUUAUGUAUACAUGUUCCCAAGGUGAUAAGAAUCAUUUGGAUAACUAUGUACCUACUAAUUGGACAUUUAUCAUGGGGGCCUUUGGGGUGAUAUCUAAACUCUAUAUAUAGAGAUAUCAUUCACCUUUUGUAAUACAUACUUGAAUAAGAAAAUUAUCUCCUCUAUCUUAUAUUUCUUGUCUUUUUCUUCUUAUAUUUUGAGCUUUCUUUACAACAAAAAUAUAUUUAUUCAAAAAAGAAUAUUUUUAAACCAUUUAAUAACUAUAAAAACAAUUUUGAACCAAACUAUUUAAAUUAAAAUAUUAACACCAAGAUAUUUUUAAAUCAAACUAUAAACGAUAGAAUAUUUUUACUCCAUCCACAUGGUGAGAGGACAUGUUUUUAUCAUAUUCUCUUUUUUUAAUAAUAAAUUUUUCAAAAAGAUACGUGUCACAUGCGUUAAAAAGAUUUUGCCCCACUUUCAUCAUUUAUACAGUCCGCUACGAUGUUAUUCGUAGAAGAAUUUAAUAGCCCCUCGUCCCACUUAGAAGGAGUAUACCAUACAUAUUUUUUAAUAUUCAAUUGCUGUGUAUACAACGUUUUUAAUAUUUAAUUUAUAAAUGAAAAAAUAUUUCAAAUUUAAUUUUUUUUAAAAACAAUAGAUGGAAGUGGUAUAAAAUUAAUCUUUUUAAAAAAACUUGAAGUAUUUUUAAAAACAAUUGGGAGGGUGGGGUGGGGGUAGGGGUAGAGGUAAAAACAACAUAAUAAAUAAUUUCUUUUUAAUGAAUUAAUUUUAAAAAUAUUUCAAUCAACUAAACACUGAGAAAUGAAAAAUAUUUUAUUUUCUACUAAAUACACCCUGAGUGAAUUAGUUUACUGCCUUAGAAUAUUUUAUAAGUGAAAAAAAUAAUUGAAGAGACGCAGAAAAAGAAAUAAAAAAUUCUCAAGUCAUCAACCAGAAUAUUCACGUUGUUCAUCCCCUUUGUUUCUACUAAAUUAGUUAUAAAUAAUAUUCAACCUCGCCAACCCUGCCGCCGCCGCCCAUACUAAGCUAUUUAUUUUUUAUUUGUCCAUAAUUUUGGAUAUCUUUUUUAAUAUACAAAACAUUUUCUUUUAGUUAGAGGGAUGCAAAAUUGUAUUAAUUAAAUUUCGUAUUAUAUCGAAAUAUUAUUGUUACUUAAUUAAAAAAACUCGUCUAUAAUGAAUUUUUGUACACCCUUUAAAAACAAUCAAUGCAAUUUAUAGAUUUAUUAUAUUGAUUGUUGUAGUUUCUUUAUUUAAUGGACUUAAAGUGAGUAGUAAAUGAUAUGAUAAUUUUAUCAACACUCCUAUUCCUAUAGUCCUAUUCAAUGUAAGUCAUUUAAAUUUUGAAAAAUGAAUAUAUUCAAUAGUAGCGAUAUAAUAAAUACAUGAUGAUAAAAUAUAAAUAAUUAAAUUCAUUGUAUAUGUGGAUGAUCCAUUAGAGUUAUCCAAUAAUUAAUUGGAUUCAUGUAUUAGCGUUUCCAAUGUGAUAAGAUAUCAAGGUGAUAUGAACCUUGAUGAUAACUAUGUAAAAUUUCAAGGUGACCUUUGACUAUGAUAUCUCAACACUAUAAAUCACCAUUGUAUGACAUAUUUGAAUAAGAAAAUUAUCUCCUCUAUCUUAUACUUCUUGUCUUAUCUUCUUAUAUUCUGAGCUUUCUUUACAACACGUUAUCAGCACGAAAUUGCUACUUGCAAAGGUAUUAUAUAAAUAUUUUUAUUUAAUUCACAUAUUCUCUCAUAAUUUUCAUUAUGUCGAAUUUAUCCAAACUGAGUUUGUGGCAUUAGAUAUUUCUGGAAAGAAUUAUCUUUCAUGGGUACUCGAUGCUGAGAUUCACUUGGCUGCUAAAGGUCUUGAUGUCACUAUUACUCAGGGAAAUGAAGCAUCGAGUCAAGAUAAGGCGAAGGCUAUGAUUUUCUUUCGUCAUCAUCUUGAUGAGGGCCAGAAGAUUGAAUAUCUGACGGUGAAAGAUCCACUUGAAUUGUGGACUGAUUUAAAGGGGAGACUACAAAAGAUGAGGACAUGUUGAAAAAGACACUUACUACUUUCCAUGCCUCAAAUGUGAUAUUGCAGCAGCAAAAUCGUGAAAAGAGUUUUUAGAAAUAUUCUGAACUAAACUCAUGUCUUUUGGCGGCUAAGCAACAUAAUGCUCUUUUAAUGAAAAAUCAUGAAGCUCGUCCCACUGGAGCUGCUCCAUUACCGGAGGCAAAUGUGGUGGAAGCACGUGAUCAAUCUGAAGUAAAAAGAGAUGAUCAUCGGGGAUAUAAUAAUGCACGGGGACGUGACAAAGAUAAAAGACGAUACACUAAUCGUCAAGGUGGUAGUCAUAAUAAAAGGGGGAACCACAUGAGUUCUCAAAAUAACCCCUCAAAAGGUAAUUGUCGUCGUUGUGGCAUGAAAUACCAUUGGAAGAAUGAAUGUCGCACACAUGAACAUUUUGUAAGGCUCUAUCAAAAUUCCUUAAAAAGAAAGUAAAUAAAAGUGGUGCUUCCUUUUCCAAUGCUCGAGCUGAGUCACAUAUGACUCUUAAAGAUGAUGAUAAGUCGGGAACAUCUCAGAAAUAUGAUAAGGAUGUUGAAGAAAAUUUGGCUUUAAAGGAUGAUGUUUUUGAUGGCAUUGGUGACAUUACUCAUAUGGAAGUUGAUGACUUCUUUGAAGAUCGAAACUGAUGUUUGAUCUUUUAGCUGGAGAAUGAAGUUUGUUAAUAUUUUACUUAUGUAUUUUUAAUUAUUAUGUUAUUCAUGUUGAAGUAUUUAAAUUUCCAUUGUUAAUUUUGUUUCUUCCUUCUUUUGAUGUUUUUUAUUUUAAUGAAAAUUAAUAGAAAUCCCCAGUUGUCAGUUGGAUUCAAGAUGAGUAAUAGAGAUGUAUGCCAUCUUGAUAGUGCUACAACGCAUACAAUAUUAAAAGAAAAGAAAUACUUUUCUAAUUUGGUUAUGAAAAUGGCAUAUGUCAACACAAUAUCAGGUAGUACAAAAUUAAUUGAGGGUUCUGGAAGAGCGACCUUAUUACUACCUGGAGGGACAAUAUUAAGCAUUGAUAAUGCAUUAUAUUGUAGUAAGUCUCAAAGAAACUUAUUAAGUUUCAAAGUUAUUCGCCAAAAUGGCUAUCAUGUUGAGACGACUAAUGAAGGAAAGGUUGAAUACCUUUACAUUACUACAAUUAAUGUAGAGAAGAAAAUUGUGCAUGAAAAAUUACCUGCAUUUUCUUUUGGGUUGUACUAUACAAGUAUAAUUACAGUUGAAUCACAUGCCAUAGUAAACAAAAGGUUUAGUAAU
rnacentral:lncRNA from 1 species